UUUUAAACCUCAUCACAUAUAAUAUGUUAAACUGAAUGUGUUGUAGUGAUUCUCCGAUGCUGCAGGUGGCGGUAGAGCGAUUCAACCUGCGGUUACAAACCGCCUUUAAGAAUCAGAGAAGAAGAAAGUCACAAUAAAUCUGUAAACAAACCAAACUAAACCGAUUACUGGCGGUGCCACAGCGGGUUAAAUAAGAAGAUGGAGACCUUCAGCAGACGGGACUUGAACGGAAUCUACUCUGUGGUGUUGCUGACUGUGGUGGUCUUGUCCUGGUCCUACGUGAUCUACGCCAGCAGGAUCGCAGCUCAUUGGCUGCUGGAGGAGAGGACCGCCCUCCUACAGCAGCACUGACAGCCCAUUGGACGCCUGACACAGACCAGUAGAGACCGGACCUACUGGACCACGUUGUGGAGACACCUCAGAAGUGGACUGAACCUGGACGUCUUCAUGAGGACUAUGAGAACACUGAGACAUACUGGUCUACCUCAUGAGGACCAUGAGAACACUGAGACAUACUGGUC